AUUGAACGCUGGCGGCAUGCCUUACACAUGCAAGUCGAACGGCAGCACGGGAGCAAUCCUGGUGGCGAGUGGCGAACGGGUGAGUAAUACAUCGGAACGUGCCCAAUCGUGGGGGAUAACGCAGCGAAAGCUGUGCUAGUACCGCAUACGAUCUACGGAUGAAAGCAGGGGAUCGCAAGACCUUGCGCGAAUGGAGCGGCCGAUGGCAGAUUAGGUAGUUGGUGAGGUAAAGGCUCACCAAGCCGUCGAUCUGUAGCUGGUCUGAGAGGACGACCAGCCACACUGGGACUGAGACACGGCCCAGACUCCUACGGGAGGCAGCAGUGGGGAAUUUUGGACAAUGGGCGAAAGCCUGAUCCAGCCAUGCCGCGUGCAGGAUGAAGGCCUUCGGGUUGUAAACUGCUUUUGUACGGAACGAAACGGCCUUUUCUAAUAAAGAGGGCUAAUGACGGUACCGUAAGAAUAAGCACCGGCUAACUACGUGCCAGCAGCCGCGGUAAUACGUAGGGUGCAAGCGUUAAUCGGAAUUACUGGGCGUAAAGCGUGCGCAGGCGGUUAUGUAAGACAGUUGUGAAAUCCCCGGGCUCAACCUGGGAACUGCAUCUGUGACUGCAUAGCUAGAGUACGGUAGAGGGGGAUGGAAUUCCGCGUGUAGCAGUGAAAUGCGUAGAUAUGCGGAGGAACACCGAUGGCGAAGGCAAUCCCCUGGACCUGUACUGACGCUCAUGCACGAAAGCGUGGGGAGCAAACAGG
rnacentral:rRNA from 1 species